rnacentral:tRNA from 1 species
GCGAAGGUGGCGGAAUUGGUAGACGCGCUAGCUUUCAGGUGUUAGUGUCCUUACGGACGUGGGGGUUUCAAGUCCCCCCCUCGCACCA